ensembl:lincRNA
CAUUUUCAGCCGCACUAGUCGGUACAAAACCAGAAGUCAGAAGAUCCAGCUUAGCACUUCUGUUCUCCGUGAAGCAUCUGUGCAGUGCCCCUGACAGCCAUGACGAGAGGGAAUCCCCAAGGCUCCUCGUUUCUUGCUGUAGGGAGAGCCGUGCCCUGCCCUGAAGAUGACAGGCAGAUGUUUGACAGUUACUCACAAACCCUUUCUGCUACAAGCUGAGCAUCCUCCCUCUGUGAAAAAUAGAGUUUCUGUUCAAGGACCAAACUUCACCAUGACAAACGACUCUGGUUUUAAACCAUUUUCAAGAGAAGGAUUUACCUUCGUGGAUUCCCCGGAUAUCUCAAGGAAGCUGGCGGGAUCAUUCCACGCAUUUUCUCUUUGAACCGAGAAGUUAUAUUUAGUCCAAAUGAGAUGGCACAGUUGCUGGAGGCAGAGUGGGGCUGAAGGAGUGAGUGGAGAUAUUGUGAAGUUCAUUCUGUAAAGCUGGCCUUAAACCUGAAGUUACCCCUGCUGACCCCUGGCGCUUACUUGGGAACAUUUGAAGGACGCUCCUUUCAGGGCCUGAACCCAGGCAUGAGAACAGAGGAAAAGAGAAAAUAAACCCCAACUUUAUCACUUAAGACUUGGAACUCAGAAAAACUUUGACUCCAGUUUGGGAUGAAGUCAGAAUGGAUUCUUUUGCUCAUAUCUGCACAACCUUCUUGCAAAGAAGAGAGGGGGGAAAAAGUCCAUUUGUAUCUUUUUUUUCAGAUUCUGCAAAUAAACAUUAUCAUGUGCUAUCUGUCUCUCUUUGUC